GCCUGGCUGGCUCAGUUGGUAGAGCAUAUGACUCUUGAUUUUGGGGUUGUGAGUUUGAGCCUCACGUUGGGCA